AAUGGCGACACGUGUCGCCAUCGAGAAAUUGGGAGCAAGACAAACCCAGAGAGAUGAAGUGACUGACCCAAGGUUACACAGGAUGGAAUCUGUAUCUUCUGAUUUCCUUACUGGCCCACAGUGCAUGUUCUGAGGAGCAGCCCUGGAAGCUACUGCGAUAAUGGAACAGUGGAGUAGAUAGUCCAUUAUAACUCAUCUGUGAUUCUUCUCAAAUUUAAGUGACUACAGCUCUGAAUGGCCUGGAACUUGAUAUGUAGGCCAGGUUGGCCUAUGAGCUCACAGACCUUUGUCCUGAGUCCUGGAAUUGAAGAUGUGUACCACCAUGCUGGACUUGCUUUAUGGAUUCGAGACAUGGUCUCAGUGUGAAUUCCAUGUUGGCAUCACCGUGUAGUACAUGCUGGCCUGGAACGUGCCAUGUAGCUCAUAGUGAUCUUGAAUGCUUAGUCCUUCUACUGUAGCCUUUGAGUGCUGGGAUGUAGGUGUCUUUGUCUUCAUGUUAAUAUGUGUACCACAUGUGUCUGGUGUCCAAGGAGGUCAGAAGAGUGAUUUUCCUCUAGAACUGAAGUUAGAGAUGGUGGUGAAUUACCAUAUGGGUUUGAACCAAAGUCCUGUGUAAGAGCAAAUGCUGUUACACCGAGGAACUGUCAAGGUUUGUUUUUAAGGAAGAAUGUGUAAGUUUAGGUCUUCAUGUAGUUGGCUAGGACAUUUGAGUGAGAAAGUUGGGAAAGGAAUUAAAGAGAAAUUUCUACACUUUAUU
rnacentral:lncRNA from 1 species